rnacentral:rRNA from 1 species
UAGGGAAUCUUCCGCAAUGGACGCAAGUCUGACGGAGCAACGCCGCGUGAGUGAAGAAGGAUUUCGGUUCGUAAAACUCUGUUGUUAGAGAAGAACAGCGCAUAGAGUAACUGUUAUGCGUGUGACGGUAUCUAACCAGAAAGCCACGGCUAACUACGUGCCAGCAGCCGCGGUAAUACGUAGGUGGCAAGCGUUGUCCGGAUUUAUUGGGCGUAAAGCGAGCGCAGGCGGUCAAUUAAGUCUGAUGUGAAAGCCCCCGGCUCAACCGGGGAGGGUCAUUGGAAACUGGUUGACUUGAGUGCAGAAGAGGAGAGUGGAAUUCCAUGUGUAGCGGUGAAAUGCGUAGAUAUAUGGAGGAACACCAGUGGCGAAGGAGACUCUCUGGUCUGUAACUAACGCUGAGGCUCGAAAGCGUGGGUAGCAAACAGG